CCAUACCCUCAAGGGCUUGUCAAACUAACCCUUAAUAAAGAACCAGAAUUGCAUGUGGUUGCACGAGACACUACCUCAUCCAUCACAUCCUGGUUUAAGAGCAACAACACCCACUCCCGGCUGAUAACACAGCCUCGACCACUACCAGCGAAAGGAGACGCUCUAAGGGAAAGCGCUCUCGCCACGCAAGUGCCGCAGGGCACUCUGGGAGGGAGUCUUCUGGGUUGCUUCUGCGCGUGUGCGGCUCCGCCCACCCCGUCCGGGACUUCCGGGCCCCGCUACGCCCCUGCCGCUGCCCCGGGGGUGGAUCAGGUGUCCCGCGAGGGUGGGUGAGCAGAUGGAAGGGCGCCCAUCGCGGGGACGCAGGGCGCUGCUCCAGCCCGUGGAGUGAGAGAUCGGUGGGUGAGCAGUGGACCUGACGCGCAGGUGGGAGCCGCGGCCUAGGCGGGUCCGGGGCUGGGAAGGGCCGGCUGCAGCUCCGCCUGAGGUGUUCAGUCAGAAAAAGGUCAGCUGCUGACGGCCCGGCGCCCGCCUCCUGAGGCUUCGCGACGUGGGAGUGCAGUCCAGGGUGACAGCGGGGCCAGGGUGGGUCUGAAGACCACCCGAGCCGGCGCGGGAGGAAGCUUCCCUACGCUAAUGUCAGAGGUGUGGACAGCAGAAUCUAGGAGCAAGUCACCCAGGUCUUUCAUGAUGCUGUACCAGUCUCCUUCUCUCCCAGCUCUAUUUCCAGGAUCCUUUAUGUAUUUCUAGGAGCAGCGGGAAAUGAAUACAUCUCUGGACUUUGCUUUACCAAACCUGAGGUGAUCGUCAAGUUGGAACAAGGAGCAGAGCCAUGGACUGUAAAAGAACCCCCAAACCAGAGUUUCCCAGGCUGUCCCUGCAGAACUUUUUAACUGAAGGAGCUGCCGUGCUCCCCCACCCGCUUCCUGGUGAGGUGGGAGCCAACACGCGGCGGAUCAGUGUCAAGACGAAAGAAAAGGUGCUGGCUUUGCCAAGACUACGAGACUGCCCUCCCAUGGGACACCACACACCUCUGGCUUUCCCAAGAUGACGAGACCCCCCUACCGUGGGACACCACACACCUCUGGCUUUCCCAAGACUGCGAGACCACCCCCCUAUGGGACACCACACACCUCUGGCUUUGUCAAGAUUCCGAGACCACCAGAGUCCAGCUGCAGGUGAAAGGUCAACUAACCUUCUCCCCCAGCUUCAGGGAAUCAAUUUCCCAUCCACAGGGUAUAAGAAGGCCCCAGCAGAAGUGGGGGGGGGCUGGCUCUUCUCAGGGUCAGUCACCCUCUCCUUUCCCUCUAAUAAAUUUCCUUCUCUUUGUUGGAA